rnacentral:rRNA from 1 species
AGCGAACGCUGGCGGCAGGCUUAACACAUGCAAGUCGAGCGGGCAUCUUCGGGUGUCAGCGGCGGACGGGUGAGUAACGCGUGGGAACGUGCCUUCUGGUUCGGAAUAACUCAGGGAAACUUGAGCUAAUACCGGAUACGCCCUUUUGGGGAAAGGUUUACUGCCGGAAGAUCGGCCCGCGUCUGAUUAGCUAGUUGGUGGGGUAACGGCCUACCAAGGCGACGAUCAGUAGCUGGUCUGAGAGGAUGAUCAGCCACACUGGGACUGAGACACGGCCCAGACUCCUACGGGAGGCAGCAGUGGGGAAUAUUGGACAAUGGGGGCAACCCUGAUCCAGCCAUGCCGCGUGAGUGAUGAAGGCCUUAGGGUUGUAAAGCUCUUUUAUCCUGGACGAUAAUGGCGGUACCGGAGGAAUAAGCCCCGGCUAACUUCGUGCCAGCAGCCGCCGUAA